rnacentral:lncRNA from 1 species
GUAAUGGCAUCUUGCCUCCUCCCUAGACUAGAUGUGUGCUUUCUAUACAACCCACACCAUGUUGUUGAUCAUAUAGUUUACAAUUUGAAGUCGUAGAUAAUAUUUACUAUGUCCGUAAUCCUUUAUAGGCUGUGCAGAAAAGGAGUUAGCAGCUUGUUAUACUCUGGAAAUUUGGACUUUGUAGCCAACUCCUAGCCUCUGUAUAUAUAUGCUACACUUGAUCCGUUGCAAGAUCAAUACCAUUAGCAACGCUGUACAAGUAGCCAAGUAUACGAGCUUGGUACGGGGUUGGUAGUGGCUCGAAGGGAAGAUGGUUCUUGCUCCGUACCUUUUGCUGUAAUUUCAGCCGGUCAAGGAUGGGGUCCUCAGGUUGGAGGCGAGCUUAUGGACCUUAUAGUCGUGCUUCAUGACUUUUAAGCUGUGAAAAUGUUCUGUAGUCUCUUGGAGCUGGUUGCAGUGCUGCGGUAGGGCCUGUUGGGAGAGUUUUGGAAGCGAGUGAUAAAGAUUCUGGCAUGUGCUACACUUACAGUUGUAGCAAAGGUGCAUUUGCUGGAAGGGGACAUUGUUGCAAGAAGGAUGGACACAAUUUUUCAGUUUUAUGGAGAUCCAUAUUUGACAACUGAUAAAGACAUAACAUAGAAGUGCACAAGUUAAAGCUUUUGGUAUCUUGUAUCGGAGUGACAUUUGGUUUGGUUCUUUACAUCUAAACCUGAUCAUCGUAAGGAAAGGAAGUGGAGUCUAGCCACUCUUGACCGGUGAUGAAUUCUGACACUGAGAAAUUAGAAGCUUCAUAAUAGUCCAUGACGUGAUGACCAGGCCAUGUGACUCGACCGUCCAUCUUGGAACCAGGGCCAACGUUGGCAUACUCGCCAUAAUACACGGUGUCCAACUCCAAAUCUUCAUCUCCGGACCAAUGGAUCCAUCCCAUGGGGUCAAUAAAGUCAGCAAUGUAGGACUCGAUGAAGACGGUGCGGGAGUAUGGCCUCCAUGGUCUCCCUAGAUAGCUUUGGACGUUACGGAGGUCCUCUGUAGCCAGAAUAGAACAAUUCUGAAACGAAAUCCCUGUUUGUUGGUCAGGAGAGUCCCUGGACUGGGCGGAGAUGACGGUGAACUGGCCAGGCAUGGGCAUUCUGGAUAUGAUGUUGCAACCCUGAAACACUGCGGCUGCGUUACCAAAUAUGUAAUCAACGGUCCCAUAAAUGUCACAUUCUCUGUAAAAUUGCCUGAAGGAGUGGACGUACAACGUAUCUUGAUAACUGCUUAUAGUACAUCUAUAGACUGCUGCUAAGUCUGCAUUGAUACGAAGGGCUACCGCCUGGUGCUUCUCUGGUCCUGCUAAGUUGUGAAACCCGAUGUCACGUGCCAAGAAUCCUUCACCUGACACAGCUGUUCAUCACCAUUAUCCAUUAGCUAUCUAUCUGUUCAUACUUUAUUUGAAAAACUAAUUAUUAGUAUAUGUUUACAAGGAGGAUAUGAUGGAUGAUUUUGUUUGUUACCAACAGUAGCAGAUCUGAAAGUAGUCCAACCAUCCAUCACGCUUCUGUUACCGGCUAUUAUAGUAGUAUCGCUUCCUUCUCCAAGAAGAACGAUGUUGGUUUUGUAAAUAGGGAUCUCCACAUUUUCUUCAUACAGCCCCUGUUUAAUGUAGAUGAUGACCCUGUCAACGCUAUUGUUUGGAGCAAAACUAAUGGCAUCGGUGAUGGUGGUGAAGUUACCACUCCCAUCGGUGGCCACAGUUAGUAUGUUUGUGCUGUAGUCGUCGUCAUAAUCAUCAUCACCAUCCCCUUGAUUGUGGAAAAUCUUGCCAUCUUUUCUGGAUGGCCACUUUGGAAGAGCCUUGUGGAGCUUUUCUGUUGAACCAGAUGAUGCGGCGGAGAGAAGAGAAAGACAGUUGCUGACAUGCUUGUAAGCAGCGAUUAUGGUGGCGACUAGAAGUGGCUUUAGCGGGCCAGAUGCAGACUGUAGGCCUUCUAGACAAGUAUUCUUGUUGGUGACAGCUGCAGCCAGGAAAGCGCUGACAUCUGCCAAGUUUAACGUUCUUGGAUUGGUGAGUCGAGCCAGGGACUUGUUCAAGGAGGCAAGAGUUAUCUGGUGGAGUUCAUGGCAGUCUUGGAUGCUUCCCUUGUGCUUCUCAAUGAUAUUAUAAAUAUCAUUGCCACCCAACAAACUUAAUACUCUUUCUGCUUCCGAUAUGGCAACCUUGAGAGAUUGGAGGAGGAUGUUAUCAGCAGUAAUGGUGCUGAUAUCUAAGCAAACAUCCGGGUAUGGCGUAGACUUGCAGACCGACCUUGUAAGAGAUGUGGAAUUGGGAGUGGAAGAGAGAGCCUGAUUUGUACAUGUCCAGAGUAGGAGUAUGAGCAGGUGGAACUGGAACUGAAAUGAUAAAGACAUUAUUAUUAUUAGUGACUGACU